AGAGACGUGCAUAUAUUUUAGUAUACAUGGAAACUGACUUCAAGUAGGAGCCAUCUAUCUGGUGACACAAAAUAAUAACGGCUCAGAUAUUGUAUAGGUUUAAAACGUACAGAUGACAAACUCUAACCUACAAACUCUAGCCUUAACUACGCUUCUUUACAAAUAAGAAUUCUAUAUCGACUCAAUUCGUGCACAUCCAGGCAAGACAUCGCCCCUGAUCUCAUCCUUCAUCACAUACAUGCAAUAAUUAGUCCUCUCGCCAGCAAUAAGAAGCAGACAGGUUGUGUGGCAGUACUUGCAGGUAAUGUUCAUUAUCUCCUUCCACAAAUAAUACAUGCAUGUCUCCUUGCAAUGAUUAAUAUAUGCAUUAACUCUCCGAUCUCAUUACACAUGCUUUGUAUUAACUUGAAUUACAGAGAGAAAGCGCCGAUAAACUUGGGAUUCAGAUCACUAAUUACAGAGCGUGCACAUCACGGCAAGACAUUGCCGUCCUCUCGCAAGCAGCAAGGAGCAGACAGGUUGUGUGGCAGUACUUGCAGCCAAUGUUCAUUAUCUCCUUCCACAAAUAAUAUAUGCAUGUCUCCUGCAAUGAUUAAUAUAUACAUCAACUCUCCGUUCUCAUUACACAUGCUUUGUAUUAACUUGAAUUACACAGAGAAAGUGGCGAUAAACUUGAGAUUCAGAUCACCAAUUACAGAGCAUAUAUGUCCUCUCAUUGGAAGGUGACAACACAAGUAUCCUUCUUUCACAAUAGAAUAAUGAUUUUAGACGAUUUAAAAGCCUUUGUUGGAAAACAAUCCAUACGAAAAAGAAUCUUAUCAGGAAACUAUCUGUUCCAUACAAAUACCUUCAGCAUCCUUGCAAACAAUGUGGUCCCUGACAUGUUUACAUUAAAUUUAUCAUCAGCAAUUCUGAAUUUCUGAACAAAUAAAAUCAGUUACGUAUAAGAUGCCCUCACUUAUAUCUCAGAAUAAAAUCAGUUACACUUUUUACCUCAUUUAUUUCAGGAUUCACUAGCCGCAGUCAACAUGCGUCGAACACGCACUAGAGCAAAUCAAAACAACGAAAGGUAUUCAUUACCACAGUACCAAAAAUAAUUAUAUAAAUAUUAAUUUACCUGGAUUAUUAAAAUGAUAACAAAAUAAAAUGUAGGAAUAUGUGGCGUCAUCAAGGAAUCCAAAUACCUGAGCAAGCAGCCUCUAAACUAGCAACACUCGAAUCUAAUGAUAGUCAAUCAGACAUCAUUAGAGCAGCAGCAAAGGAAGCUAGGCGGAAAACGAAAGAAUCCUCCAGCUGAAAA
rnacentral:lncRNA from 1 species